rnacentral:rRNA from 1 species
CCCUUAGAUGUUCUGGGCCGCACGCGCGCUACACUGACGAAGUCAGCGAGCAUGUCCUACGCCGACAGGUGCGGGGAAUCUUGUCAAACUUCGUCGUGAUGGGGAUUGAUUAUUGAAAUUCUUGAUCAUCAACGAGGAAUUCCUAGUAAGCGCAAGUCAGCAGCUUGCGUUGAUUACGUCCCUGCCCUUUGUACACACCGCCCGUCGCUACUACCGAUUGAAUGGUUUAGUGAGAUCUUCGGAUUGGCGCCACUGCGGCUCAGCAAUGGGCUCGGUGGAUGCCGAAAAGUUGAUCAAACUUGAUCAUUGAGAGGAAGUAAAAGUCGGAACA